UACGUAGGGACCAAGCGUUGGUCGGAUUUACUGGGCGUAAAGGGCGCGUAGGCGGCAAAUUAAGUCAGCUGUGAAAUCUCCGAGCUUAACUCGGAACUGUCAGCUGAUACUGAUGUGCUAGAGUGCGGAAGGGGCAAUCGGAAUUCUUGGUGUAGCGGUGAAAUGCGUAGAUAUCAAGAGGAACACCUGAGGUGAAGACGGGUUGCUGGGCCGACACUGACGCUGAGUGCGCGAAAGCCAGGGGAGCAAACGGG
rnacentral:rRNA from 1 species